AUCCGCUCAACAUGUAUUGAAGAAACAGCUACGCGCUUUUCUUUCUAGAGGGCAUUCCAAACAUAUCAGUAGUUUUACUAUUUCACGAGAGAGUGCAUUCUAUAAGAAAUUUGAUUGGUUGUAUAAAAUAUGGAAUAGAUAAUUUUAUUUUUUUCUAUUCUAUUUUAUUUUGGAAAUAAGUAGAAAUAAAUGAAUUCAAAUCGCGUAUCUAUAUCGUUAUAAAGAUGUUAUAGUUUCGAAUUUGAAAAAAGAUUUUUACUCGUUUAAGGGGUACAAUAUAUAACACAUUUUAAUGCGCUAUAAAUAAAAAAAAGAUUAAUAAAAUAUAUGAUAUAAUUGUUUUACAUUCUAAGUAAAUAUAUUUUGACGCAAUUGUCCUUAAAAAUAUGUGAAAGGUGCGAGAUUAUUUAAGGUCGUUUGAUAAUAAUUACUGACAGUAUGAAAAUAUUGUGCAUCAAUUCAUCUAUAUAUUAUUGCUAAUUCUGUAUAGGUUUUAUAUGAAUCUAAUCUGACUUAGUUUUGCUAAGAUUAUUAUUGAAUUAUUAAAGACUUCCGAAUAAGAAAUAUUCUUAAGCAUUUUGUUUUCAUUUUGGAACUUUGCAAAUAGAAAGUUCUGUAAGAAUGAUUCGUAAACUAUGAUCUAUUAAUUGUAAAGGGUGUAUAAAAAUUAUGCGUAAAGAUCACCAUUGGAAGAUGAGGUGCAUCGAUCGGCACAUCAUUAAGAAAUGUUAUUGCAUUUUAAAAAAAUAUAGUUUACAUGGUUUACAUCUCCCCUUCUAAAGAAAAGCUAAUAACAUCAAAUAGUACCUCCUUCAGUUCCAUUCAAUAUUUGUUUGAAAAGUUUUUCUAUACAGUGAUGGACGAAAUACAAUGAAAAGAAAAAGAUUUUACCUUAAAAUUCAAGCUGCAGGACAAUUUUUCACUGAACGUUUCUUACAAAUGUCCACCGACCUGAAGUUGUAUCGAUCUUUAUACAUAAUAUUUAUACAUUCUGUGUAUAUUUAUAAAAGGUUUGGAAAAACCCAACAUAAAAGUUUUCAAGAAAAUGUAGAAGAUGACAUGACAAAUAAGGGAAUUGUAUUAAAUAUAUGAGAAGUACAUAAAGAAAACAAGGUCAAUUUCUUACGCCUUUAUAAAAAGAGAAAGGUAAUAAAUAUAUUAUAUACAUUUGUAACACACUUGAAUUACUUAAAAAAUGGAAAUAGGUAUCGAUUAAUUAUAGUUAUGAUUAAUUAUAACAGUUUAUUUUUUCUUUCUA